GUUCUGGAGGCAAUACUAGUCUGUAAGUGGAUAUCCCAAUUCCGUCUCAAAUUUCAAAUAUGAACUGGGAAUUCAAAUUUUUUCUCUUUCCAAACCUAGUGAUGUCCUUAAAAAGGGUGAGCUUAAGGAAUACUUAAUCGCAUUUCUCAAAUUCUAAAUCUCUCUUUCGGGUGUCUGCAUAACUUUUCUACCUACUCUAGUCAG
rnacentral:lncRNA from 1 species